rnacentral:ncRNA from 1 species
UAAAAUUAUGUGAAGAGAAAGAGUACGUUAUAAGUCCUGUUCCAAAGAGAGCUGGUGAUUUGCUGAAAGCUAGUGUUCAGGUUAUAACGGAAAAUCCUCUCUGAGAAGUAAAGCUGAAUGAUUAGUAAGCUUUAUCGAAUUCCACCGUUAGAGGGCCAGCGUAUGAUUGUACGUUGGUCAAGAGUAAUGAUAGGCUUAUUUAUUGCUUAGCAGUAGGUGAGUUAUUCAUUAAACAAGAGUGGUACCGCGAGUUCAAAUCUUGUCUCUUAA